GACGAACGCUGGCGGCGUGCUUAGCACAUGCAAGUCGAACGGAAAGGCCUGCUUUCCCUUGUGGAUUGCGGGUACUCGAGUGGCGAACGGGUGAGUAACACGUGAGUGAUCUGCCCCCAACUUGGGUAUAAGCCUGGGAAACUGGGUCUAAUUCCCGAUAGGACUGCAGGGUGGUGCCUGUGGUGGAAAACGAUUUUCUAGUGGUUGGGGAUGAGCUCGCGGCCUAUCAGCUUGUUGGUGGGGUAAUGGCCUACCAAGGCGGCGACCGGUAGCCGGCCUGAGGGGGUGGACGGCGACAUUGGGACUGAGAUACGGCCCAGACGCCUACGGGAGGCAGCAGUGGGGAAUAUUGCACAAUGAGCGGAAGCCUGAUGCAGCGACGCCGCGUGGGGGAUGACGGCCUUCGGGUUGUAAACUCCUUUCGACCGCGAGGAAGCCACCUGGUUGGAAGGGUGGUGACGGUAGUGGUAGAAGAAGCACCGGCUAACUACGUG
rnacentral:rRNA from 1 species